rnacentral:lncRNA from 1 species
UAUUACUCCAGGCAUAUAUUAAACAUCACUGUGUGCAUACAUUUUAACUUUUAAAGAUGUUGUUGCUCAUGUGACAUGUCCAAAUGUCGCUAACGUUACUCAUUUUUGUCUCCGUCACAUUAGCAACAUGAAAGUAGGAGACAGAACACAAUACUGUAAAAUCUGCCUUAUAUAUUGUGAAUUGUUUACAUGUGAUAAAUAUGAAAUGGAUGUACGUUCAUGCUAUGCAUAGUGUUUGUUUAUUUUUACUUUAUGUAAAGUAAUUAAAACAAAUAAAUCUGACAUCUGUUACUAACUUGAUAAUAGUCCAGGAACAGUUUGUCAUCUCAAAAAUAUAAAACAAAACAGGAUGCAAAAAAUAAUUGAAGAGUGCUUUGAAAAUUUAUGUAAUAAUAAGUACUAGCAUUUCAGUGAGAAUAAAGCAUAGAUUUAUGAUGAGUUUAUUUAAAAGUCGUUAUACAACUGCCAAAUUGGGUGCAGUUUGUAUAUUUUGAAAUAUCUAGCUUCACUGUACGUAUGCUGCCAAAUUGGGUGCAGCAGUUAGUCAUAGUGAAACCAGUAUUAUAUUUCCUUUAAGAGAACUCUAUUUUUCUUUUUUGAAAGCACAUGUUGUAACUUGCAUUUGUGAUAAGUAUUUUUGGCAAAUAUAGAAUGAUUUAUUUUUAUAACUACAUGUAAAAAAGAAACAAGAAAUAGAUCAGAGAAUACAUUAUUUUACUAGUAAUUUGGGAAAAUUUGUUGGGUGACAUACAUGUAGAUAUGAUAAUUAACACAAAAUGAUUGCUUGCAAAAAUUAAAGAAAAGUAUUGCAGUUUGAAACGAUGAAAUGUUUCUUCUGUUAAUUUGGACUGAUCUAUCAACUCCAAAAAUGAUUAUUGAUUUAUACAACUUACAAAAUGUCAAGUCAAAUAUAGAAUGGCAUUAAACAUUCUUUCAUCGAUUGUUUUAAAAGAUAUUUGUACUAAAUAUCUUGAGUAGCAAUAAUUCGUAUCUAUGAAGUUAUUUUGUAUAUUUGUAAGCAUUGUUUGGUUAUUUAUUGGUAUUGCCUUUAAUAUUUGUUUUGUUAUUCCAAUUGUUCUGUAUAGGCAUCCCUGAGUAUUAAAAGUUUG